rnacentral:lncRNA from 1 species
UAAAAUGUACCAGCUUACAUUGAAGGGCUUAGGGUUUUUCAAAAAAGUAGUUAAUUUUAAAGAACCCUAAACCAGUUACGUUAAUUUACUUUACUUUUGGCAAAGGCAGGCAACAAGAUUGUGUUUGAGUGAAACGAAGAAAGACGAAGAACAAGGAAGGCACAGAGGCAUGAGCCGCGCAUACCUGGCUUUAUUCUUCCUUGCGCGCCUCUUGCUCGAGAUCCGCAAUGCCGAAUCGCAGUGCGCCGAGCUCCAGAAAUACGUCGAGCUCUCGCAGGCCUGCGACUUCUACUUCGAUGGCUACCACCAUCUUCCUCCCAUCCUGGAGCUCAAGAACAACGAGAGUCUCACGCCUUCCAUCUCCACCAGGUAAAGAGCUCUCUCUCACCUCCAAGAGCUCACGCAGCGUGAUUUCUUUCCUCCAGGGACGGGAAGAAAGUGCUGAGGAUCGGGGAGAUCGCGCGCUGCAAAGCUUAUUUCGCUGCGUCCUUCACGUUCGUCGGCGUUGGAGGAACUGGAGACUGUCACAACCAGUUUAGGAUCAACAAGAACAAUCAAGUAGAGCUGGCUCACUUUGGUCAGCAGCAGGGAGCUCUCGUCGAUCCGUUGCAAGCCAGUGCCAUUAUCCUGUUCCUGGAUCAGCUGGAGCUCGAGGAUGGGACCUGCUUAACCGAUGGAGAUCACGACACCAAGUACAUCGAGAGCCGGAGGUGUGUCUCGUUUCUUACCAUGCCUCACCUCCACGCCGAGGUCGCAGCUCCAGUGGUGGUGAUGAAGGAGUUCGUGCUCUUUCGCGAGAAGAUCAUGCUCGAGUUUAUCCAGACGAUGAGGAAGAUCCAAAUGAACCUGAGGCAGAUGAUCCAGGAGCGCCUUCUUCAGCAGUUGCCGACGUAUUGAAGGCUCGAGGUCGUGGUAUCCAUCGGACCGGUCUUUUGUUGUUAUUCUACCACCGGCCUGAAACGACAAGAUAAUUCUUAAGAAACAGAACAAAAAGAAUAAACCAUACUCUCUCGGUCGGCUGUCCUUUAGGAGAUUAUCGCGUUUGACGUUGGAAGUCGCAUCUUUGCUACAAGCGAGACAAGUGAAACACGCAAUGCUGCCGGCCUGAAAAAUAAAAAUCAAGUGCAGUCUCGUUCCUGUUCAUUAAGGUCCUCUAUAAGUUGCAGAAAGAAAUUCCGAAAUCAAUCACCUGGCAAUGGAGCUCCCAGCAAUGGUGCUCUUUAUUGUCCUCCUCCUUUCGAGUCAUCUUGGAGCUGCCAGUGUAUCUGAUAGAAAGGUAAGUUGUGAACUCGAGUUACAGGAAAUCUUCAAUCCGUGCUUUUUAGCUGUAUGUUGUCUACACGGGAAGGAGAGCAAGUCACGAAGACAUUCACGCAGCUCACAAACACAACCAUGCCACGCUCGCAAACGUACUUGGAAGGUAUGAGAAACAAAUACGCUAGCUACAUGUACUGAAUCAAAGACGCGGCACAGCUCCGAGGCUGUACAAGAUUCAAUGAUCUACAGCUACAAGCAUGGAAUGAGAGGCUUUGCAGCGUUUCUAACUAAUGAACAAGCCGAUGCAAUUGCAAGUACGUACCUCAGCUGGAAAACGACUGCUCUUAUAACACCUUCUUGCUGUGCAGAAAAGGAUGGCGUCCUCUCCGUGAUUUCGAACAAACUCCACAAAGUUCACACCACGCAGUCGUGGAGCUUCUUGGCCGGAAUGCCCGCACAAACUUGGACAGGAACGGAAGAAUGGUACUCCAAGAAAGCUCAAAACGUGAUAAUUGGAAUGCUGGAUUCUGGUAAGUAGCACAGCAAGAAAAUGAAAAUCCAUCAGAACAAUUUGCACCUUUCUGUUCAGGAAUAUGGCCUGAAUCCAAGAGCUUUCACGACGAUGGCAUGGAACCUGUGCCAAAACGCUGGAGAGGAGCUUGUGUACCUGGUGAAAAAUUCACCAGAGACGACUGUAACAAGUUAGUAACAGUACAAGCUUGAGAGAGUUGACCAACAGACCUGUUGCGGCUUUGCAGGAAGAUAAUCGGUGCACGGUUCUACUUCAAAGGAAUAAACGCCGAAGCUCCGCUAAAUGCUAGCGGUGCAAACUUUACCCUGU